UACGGAGGGUGCGAGCGUUGUCCGGAAUCAUUGGGCGUCAAGGGCGCGUAGGUGGCGGGACAAGCGUGCGGUGAAAGCCUGGGGCUCAACCCCGGGUCGGCCGUGCGAACUGUUUUGCUUGAGCACUGUAGAGGCAGGCGGAAUUCCGGGUGUAGCGGUGGAAUGCGUAGAGAUCCGGAAGAACACCGGUGGCGAAGGCGGCCUGCUGGGCAGUAGCUGACACUGAGGCGCGACAGCGUGGGGAGCAAACAGG
rnacentral:rRNA from 1 species